rnacentral:rRNA from 1 species
GUGACGAAGCGACGCCGCGUGCGGGAAGAAGGCCUUCGGGUUGUAAACCGCUGUCGGGAGUUAGGAAGUGCAAGAAUGUUAAUAGCGUUCUUGCUUGACUAAGGCUCCGGAGGAAGCCACGGCUAACUCUGUGCCAGCAGCCGCGGUAAUACAGAGGCGGCAAGCGUUGUUCGGAAUUAUUGGGCGUAAAGAGCACGUAGGCGGCUGUGUAAGUCGGUUGUGGAAGCCUUCCGCUCAACGGAAGGACGGCAUCCGAUACUGCAUGGCUCGAGUGCGGGAGGGGAGAGUGGAACUUCUGGUGGAGCGGUGAAAUGCGUAGAUAUCAGAAGGAACACCGGCGGCGAAGGCGACUCUCUGGUCCGUAACUGACGCUGAGUGUGCGAAAGCUAGGGGAGCAAACGGGAUUAGAUACCCCGGUAGUCCUAGCCGUAAACGAU